AUAGCAUAUAUUAAAGUUGUUGCAGUUAAAAAGCUCGUAGUUGGAUUUCUGGGAGGAUGUCAAUGUCCGCUCGAUUGCGUGUGCAGCGACGUCCUUCCAUCCUUCUGUUAACGUUUCUUGGUAUUCAGUUACUGGUUUCGGGCUCAGAUAUUUUACCUUGAGAAAAUUAGAGUGUUCCAGGCAGGCUUGCGCCGGAAUACAUUAGCAUGGAAUAAUAGAAUAGGACUUUAGUCUCCUUUGUUGGUUUGAGGGACUGAAGUAAUGAUUAAUAGGGAUAGUUGGGGGCAUUAGUAUUUAAUUGUCAGAGGUGAAAUUCUCGGAUUUGUUAAAGACUAACUUAUG
rnacentral:rRNA from 1 species